rnacentral:rRNA from 1 species
GGCUCAGGAUGAACGCUAGCGGCAGGCUUAAUACAUGCAAGUCGUGGGGCAGCAUGAGUAGCAAUACUUGAUGGCGACCGGCAAACGGGUGAGGAACACGUACACAACCUUCCUUCAAGCGGGGAAUAGCCCAGAGAAAUUUGGAUUAAUACCCAUAAUAUAUUUGAUAAGGCAUCUUAUUAAUAUUAAAGCUUCGGCACUUGAUGAUGGGUGUGCGGCUGAUUAGAUAGUUGGCGGGGUAACGGCCCACCAAGUCUACGAUCAGUAGCUGAUGUGAGAGCAUGAUCAGCCACACGGGCACUGAGACACGGGCCCGACUCCUACGGGAGGCAGCAGUAAGGAAUAUUGGACAAUGGACGAAAGUCUGAUCCAGCCAUGCCGCGUGAAGGAUUAAGGUCCUCUGGAUUGUAAACUUCUUUUAUAUGGGACGAAAAAAGGGCAUUCUUGUUCACUUGACGGUACCAUAUGAAUAGGCACCGGCUAACUCCGUG